UACAGAGGUCCCAAGCGUUGUUCGGAUUCACUGGGCGUAAAGAGCGUGUAGGCGGCUAGGUAGGUCCGUUGUGAAAACUCGAGGCUCAACCUCGAGACGCCGGUGGAAACCAUCUAGCUAGAGUCCGGAAGAGGAGAGUGGAAUCCCUGGUGUAGCGGUGAAAUGCGCAGAUAUCAGGAAGAACACCAAUGGCGAAGGCAGCUCUCUGGGACGGUACUGACGCUGAGACGCGAAAGCGUGGGGAGCGAACAGG
rnacentral:rRNA from 1 species